rnacentral:rRNA from 1 species
GUGCAAUGGCGGUAGCUACACAUGCAAGUCGAACGGCAGCAUAGAGGAGCUUGCUCCUUGGGUGGCGAGUGGCGGACGGGUGAGGAAUACAUCGGAAUCUACUCUGUCGUGGGGGAUAACGUAGGGAAACUUACGCUAAUACCGCAUACGACCUACGGGUGAAAGCAGGGGAUCUUCGGACCUUGCGCGAUUGAAUGAGCCGAUGUCGGAUUAGCUAGUUGGCGGGGUAAAGGCCCACCAAGGCGACGAUCCGUAGCUGGUCUGAGAGGAUGAUCAGCCACACUGGAACUGAGACACGGUCCAGACUCCUACGGGAGGCAGCAGUGGGGAAUAUUGGACAAUGGGCGCAAGCCUGAUCCAGCCAUACCGCGUGGGUGAAGAAGGCCUUCGGGUUGUAAAGCCCUUUUGUUGGGAAAGAAAUCCAUCUGGCUAAUACCCGGGUGGGAUGACGGUACCCAAAGAAUAAGCACCGGCUAACUUCGUGCCAGCAGCCGCGGUAAUACGAAGGGUGCAAGCGUUACUCGGAAUUACUGGGCGUAAAGCGUGCGUAGGUGGUCGUUUAAGUCCGUUGUGAAAGCCCUGGGCUCAACCUGGGAACUGCAGUGGAUACUGGGCGACUAGAAUGUGGUAGAGGGUAGCGGAAUUCCUGGUGUAGCAGUGAAAUGCGUAGAGAUCAGGAGGAACAUCCAUGGCGAAGGCAGCUACCUGGACCAACAUUGACACUGAGGCA